rnacentral:lncRNA from 1 species
GAGAACUAUUUGAGAAGAGCUUUGAAGGAUGAGCAGGAGUUUGCCACUUCCGGGGCCGUGCCAACCUGCAUGUGUUUGAAGACUGGUGUGGCAGCUCUAUCCAGCAGCUCAGGAGGAACCUGCAUUUCCCACUGUACCCCCAUAUUCGCACAACCCUGAGGAAGCUUGCUGUGUCCCCCAAAUGGACCAACUAUGGCCUCCGCAUCUUUGGCUACCUGCACCCCUUUACUGAUGGGAAAAUCCAGUUUGCCAUUGCUGCAGAUGACAACGCGGAGUUCUGGCUGAGCCUCGAUGACCAGGUCUCAGGCCUCCAGCUGCUGGCCAGUGUGGGCAAGACUGGAAAGGAGUGGACCGCCCCGGGAGAGUUUGGGAAAUUUCGGAGCCAAAUUUCCAAGCCGGUGAGCCUGUCAGCCUCCCACAGGUACUACUUCGAGGUGCUGCACAAGCAGAAUGAGGAGGGCACCGACCACGUGGAAGUUGCAUGGCGACGGAACGACCCUGGAGCCAAGUUCACCAUCAUUGACUCCCUCUCCCUGUCCCUCUUCACAAGUGA